rnacentral:tRNA from 1 species
UCCCGUGUGGCUCAGUUGGUAGAGCAUGGUGUUUGCAACAUCAGGGUUGUGGGUUCGAUUCCCACUGGGGAC